UACGAAGGGGGGCUAGCGUUGUUCGGAAUUACUGGGCGUAAAGGGCUCGUAGGCGGCCAACUAAGUCAGACGUGAAAUCCCCUCGGCUUAACCGGGGAACUGCGUCUGAUACUGGAUGGCUUGAGAUUGGGAGAGGGAUGCGGAAUUCCAGGUGUAGCGGUGAAAUGCGUAGAUAUCCGGAGGAACACCGGUGGCGAAGGCGGCUUCCUGGACCGAUACUGACGCUGAGGCGCGAAAGCUAGGGGAGCAAACGGG
rnacentral:rRNA from 1 species